GAGGGUAUGGCUUAGUGGCAGAGUUUGUGCUUAGCAUGCACAAUGCCCUGGGUUAAUAAACCUAAUUACCUCC
rnacentral:tRNA from 1 species